rnacentral:lncRNA from 1 species
GGGGUGGGGUUCAUCCCACCCAGACCACAGAGACUGAAAAUAAGAAAGGGGUGAGGCCUAAGGGACAAUCAGGAUGUUUUUCAGAGAGAAGUGUGGAUGCUGGACAGGAAGAACCACAGAUACCAGAUACGGAAAAGGAAGAAUCAACACUUUCAGAGAUGGAGCCUGUUGAGCCACAGUACCAACUAGUCAAUGCUGAAUCGACUUCUCCCUUUCUACAUUGCCUGAGAGAAGUCAUUGGGGAAUACUCUAGAGUCAAGGGAUUGGAUUGUGGAUUGCAUUGGUGGUUUUCCUCAGUUUCCUCAUCUUCUCCACAAGUUUCUACAUAUCGAAUGCAGAGCAGCCCUUCUUCAAAGGACCUCCUACGGAAGCUGCUAAGGAACUCAGUCUGUAGCUCUGCGUGGAGCCAUGUGUAAACACUGAACUGAGACCUGCCACCUCCUACUACCUAAGGGCCCAUUUUCAUCUGAUAUCAUCCCCCAGAAACAAACUCAUGAUGACUUCCAUGUUUUUUUUAGAUUAGAUACAUGGAGAAUUUUCCUUUCCCUUAGAAUUAAAAUCCUGCAUUCUAAUUUUCAGUAAGCUUUUUUAUUUCUGAAUAAUUUUAAAUUUAAAGAGAAGUUGCAAAGAUAGUAUAGAAUGUUCCCUUAUACCUGUUUUUAUUUAGAGUGAUGUUCCCAGGAGAAAUGAUAAUGCAGCAAUGGACAAGAACAGGAACAAGAGACAGUCUUACCAUCUUCUUACAAUUUAUAGAUGGGACAGUGGAAAGAGAAGCCACAUCGGGGUUGGGCAUGCAGAGACCUGGUCCUAAAUCUGUGUGACUUUUGCGAAAUCCUUUUGCCUCACAGAGCUCUAGGUUCUUAUCUGUCAAACAGGAACCAGACCAUCAGAUCCGUAGAGAUCCAACCAAUGAAGGAGACUUCGAAAACUUCACAUUGCCGUGUCAAUGUGAGGUUGCUGGAUGGUUAUGACAAGAAAUCACAUUAAAUUCACUGGGGUAACAUUGUUCAUGAAACGGGAUAAUGUGUUUCAGCGAUGAACCACCCAUGGCCUUACUACAGACAUAUUUCCACUUUGAAAAUGUGUGUGAGUGUACAUGUCUGUGUGUGAGGCAGAGAUUAGAAAGUGUAAAUGUGUGCGUUUUCAUUUUACACAUCUUACAUUUUCCUUUAAUUUGUUUGAAAGCCUGUUUUGUUUGUGGCUUCCAUUCCUGGAAGUCCCAUGAGUUGUUAGUGGUGAAGAUGGAACAGAUGUGUCCAACCCGGGGGACUCCUGCCCUCAGGGACUGAGCAGCUGCAAACCUCUCUCUCAUCUGAUUCCACUGUUUCUUCCACAUGUACACAUCAUGAGAAAUAUUGUUCAAUCAAUAUCUUCCCUUAAAUCAACUCAUAUGCUUAUUUACAUGAAUUUACCUAAAACAGAAACUUGAUAUCACUUCUGUAAAUGAAAAAAUUAAACUUUCUGGCUUUAAAUAAAGCAUAACAAUAAUAAUCAUGUCAAAA